GUUUGAACAGCACUCGCUAUAAUCCUGAGAGGGUGGCGUUCUUGUGUCGUUGACGGAUGGGGACAUUUGGAGGGCAGAAGGGGCCGGCGGCUUGCCUGAAGAGGAACAGCUGGUACAUGGUAGAUCCCGGAGAAACUCGGACGACAGGGCGUGAGCUCCUACCCGCUGAACUGCAGAGAAGCCUCGUCCUAGGACGGGAACGAGCUCUUCUCCCUCUCGAACUGGAGGAAGACGGGCAGAACUCAGAUCAGCCCUUUAUUUAUUUUCUUCAGAUCAGCACGUGAAUCACUGGAGCCCGGCAACACACGGGUUAAGAAGGCUCUUUGGGGAACAGGCUUUGCUCUCCCCCGCGUUAGCCCCUGCUGUUAUUUUUACGGGAAAGCACAUUCUGAGUUUCAAGCCCGGACGCCAGAGGGAGGCCCGGUGCCUGGCCCGUGGGAGCCUGUCUGUGUUCCCAACGAACCCAUCACGACUUGAGUAAUAGCGAGUCCUGGAAAUGAUGACGGCCGCUUCCAAGCUUGUUGCUGGCCUUUGCAGAAACCUGAGACGCAGGCAUGUGUGUAGGGGUGGCGGGAGGCGGGAGUCCCCGCCAAGGAGUCUCAGGUUGCGCAAUCUCCACGUCGCUAGAAUCCGUUUUCCCCUCCCGUCUCGGUCAGGCUGCCCGGGAGCAAACCUGGAGACGGAGAUUGGUGUGCAAGCCGUCCGCUGAGGUCACGGUCCCAGGGUGGUCUGCAAGGGGGGGGGGGGGAGGAGACCAAGAAGCCAAGGGGGGUCGGGGUUUUCUUCGGCGAAGUCUCCCCGAGGGUUUGUCCAGGCUCGGGCGGAGGAGCUGGGCCUUCAUAUCCAAGUACCUGCGUGUCAGUGACCAAGGGUUCACCUGGGGACAGAAGCCCCGGGCAGCUCUCAGCAUCCGCGUGUGCACGCGAAGUAACUGCAGGUGCACGCCGUGUGAAGCAAAGCACCCCAAAGACCAAGGAGGCUGGAAAGAAUCACAAGGCUUCAGGGGAGCUCCCAGAGCACACUGGGGGCCGCCCGUCUUGCUGGACUCACACCAAUCAAUCUCAUCGGGCUCCAGCCGUGUGAUAAGUUGUUCAGUGAGGUGCCGAUACCUUGUAACAUUUUCGUUGCUUCCAGAAAACAAGAGGCCAGUGAUACUUGCCAAUGGCAAAUGCCAGAAACAAUGUGAGCCGCAGCCAGAGGCAAGGAUUCCUGCUCACCAAUCCGGGAGGUCAGCCUGUUGACACAGCCGAUCCAAGGAAGCUGGCCUCCUUCUGCAACCACACACCGUCUGCGAUUCCCGGCAGCCCGGGAAAGAACGUUACUCCCAGAGGCUGGGACGGCGGCCCGGCGGUUUUCCCUCCCCGUCUCCUCCGAAGCCUUUCCCUGCCCGGCGACGCGUGGGACCAUCUACGGUGACACCGUUGAUCGAAACUCAGCAUGCUGAUGGAAAAGUGCAAACGCGUGAGUGUGUACAGACGGGUGGAUUUUCCCAACGUGAACUCAUCCGUGUGACCCCCUCCCAGGAGCCCCUCAGGACAUCGGGAGAUCCCCCGGGCGCCCUUUCGCUCCCCUCCCUCCCAGGGAAGGUGCCAUCCCGACGUCCGACCCCAGAGGCUCGCUCUGCCCGCCACGGACAUUCUAUACGAGUGACAUCACGCGGGGUGUGCUCUUUCGCGGCCGGAUGCGUUCACGCAGCCCCACCUUUGGGAGGUUCGUCUCUAUGACGGUUUGCAACGGUGGCUUGCUCCUGUUCCAUCGUCGUCUACUGUGCCGCAACUUCUGGAUCCUUCCCAUCGCUGACGGGCAUCAGAGCUCGCUCCCAUUGGGGCCGUUGGAAACGGUGUGCCUGUGAGUGUUCUAGAACGUGCUUCUGGGUGCGCGUAUGUGUGCAUACUCUUGGGCGCACACCCAGGGGAAUGCCUGGCUGUCCGGUAUUUGCAUGUGCAGCUUGAUGAGGUGCAGCCUGUUUGCAAAGUGCACUGAUUUACACACUCGGAAAAGUGCAGCCGUUCUGGGGCCUGCACCACCUCGCCAGCACUUGGUAUUUGGAACUUCCGUUUUGCUUGCCACCCGGUCAUAAUGCAGGGAAUGACACACGUUGAUAUUCUCCACCCUUACGACUGCGGCUGGUUUUUAUAACAUCUUUGUGGGAAUCGCAAAAGGACCCUCCUGCCUUAAGACCCUUCCGCCGGAUGAAAAUGUGAUGGAAGCUGGUUUUGUCAGAGCAUGGCAUGUGACUGCCCUCUGCUGGAAGACUGCUGAAAUUCAUAGUACGGAGCCUGGAUGCCGGCGAUGGAAAUGGCAGCCUCUUAGGUGUGGUAGCCUUGGGCAGUGCACACCCUGGACAACCACACAUGGUGACCCUGCCACUCUUCACUCUUGUUCACACACACUGGAGGUGACGGUCAGGACUGGGCAGAGGCGGCCCAAUGAAAGCUCACAGAAUGAUGGCCUGGGGACUGAACCUGGUCUGCUGUUUUUAUUCGACCCGCAGAGGGGGGAAAAAAAAUGGAGCUAAUAUUUUAAAAUUUGGCAGAUUGUGUCUAAUGAUCUGGAAAAAUCUGAGAAAUCAGAGAAAGUAGAGAAACUGGGCCCUCACUCCCAAAUUAUAACACAGAGGCUGCUCUCCAUGUGUCUCCAGUUAGCCUUCGUCUCCGCCAGGCCCGAUUGUCCCUCAAGCCUUAGUCAAUGGCUAUAGCGACAUGAAACUAUACUAAUGCAGCGUCAGAUGCCUUCCCCAAGUGUCUUCCCUUAUGUAUCAGCAGUCUUCACUGCUGCUGGAGGCCUAUAAAUUUGUGACCACUGGUCUUGACACUGAUGAAAAAAACCCCACCCCAAGCUGAUCCUUAGAUCGUAAGAUCAAGUAACCCCUAUAUUCUUUGUGCUCUAGUGAAAAUCCCAUCGGACAAGGUUUCGGUGGAAUCAUAGGGUCGAAGGGCUGGAGUUUGCCGGCCCCAACCCCUGCCCCAAGGGGUUGGUGCUUCACCAGCUGGUGGCCCGGGAAGGGGGGAGGUGGGGGAAUGUGGCGGGAGGGCUGGGUGAGCAGGUGAGGGUGAGGCGGCUGCAUCUAGAACUUGCUCGGAGGGAAUCCGGUGUCCCAGGGAUUUUGAGGGAGAGAGAGAGAAAGAGAGAGAUAGUGUGGGGGAGGGGGAGAGAGAGGGAGACACAGAAUCCGAAGCAGGCUCCAGGCUCUGAGCCGUCAGCAUAGAGCCUGACGUGGUGCUCGAACUCAUGAGCUGUGAGAUCGUGACCUGAGCCGAAGUCAGAUGCUGAACCGGCUGAGCCACCCGGGCGCCCCAUUAUUGGGCACUCACUAUGUUCCAGGAACUGCGUCACGUCAGGUAGCCUUCACGACGAUGCUGUCUGCCCUACUGUGUGUCCUCUGAUAAGCCCUGUUUUGUAGACAAACCGAAGCCCGAGGCCCAGAUCACACUCAGGGGUGGCGGGAGGGCGGGUUUGAACCCAGACCUUCCUGAUUGCGGGGCUCCAGCUUCAGACGCCUUUUCUCUUCUGCUCAGAGAGUGUCUGAUUUAGAAGCAGAACCUCUUAACUUGUGGCACCAGGUGGAAUCUAGGCGGGAAGACAGAACUUUGUAAUAAUCACAGAUGUGUUGGUCUGGUUUUGCUGCUCUCUGGGAGAUGGCCUCCCAGAGUGACCUGACGCUUUGCACAAGGUCACACGUCCCGUCUGUGCCACAACCGGAAUCGGGAGCCCGGGUCCUGACUCACUGAUUUUUCUCCACCCGACGUGCAGUCUGAGUUUCCAAAUCCGGCAGGCAUCAGAGCACGCUGCUCUUUAGAAAGAUGAGCCAAUUUACAUUCUUCACCGGCAGGCCGCGGGCUGCCCCCUCUCCCGGAGAGGCCUUUUUCAAACUGACAUCUGUCAGCAGCCUUGAUCCGUGCGUGGCUUUUUCCAAGCGGUGGUCCUGCUCGGGGACCUCAGCUCAACUUUGAUUCCAGCCGCGGCACACGGGCAGCCCCUCCCGGCUCCAGUAAGAUGGGUCGUGCCCUGGCUGCGAGGGACAGCGUGGGGGCAACCGGGCCCGCGUUGUGCCCUUGCAGGGGUGGGGGGAGGCUCCCAUGAGAUGCGGGCGCGCAAGUGUUUGGAAGAAUCAUGCGAUGUUGGGCAAAGGCAGAGCGUUAGGAUUGCGGUGGGUGGGGGAGCGGGCCGGAGGAGGAGGCAGAUGGGUGGGUGCCGCGUCCUCUUCUGGAGUCGGGCCCGGAGCCCAGGGCUCCCCUCCCUUCCCUCUGACAGUGCAGGGCUCGCCAGGUUCUGUGCCGGCAAUCGAGGGAGCGCCGGAGCUCUCUGACGCUGUGGCUCGGCACUGGAGCCUUCCUUUGGAGACAUCUGCCAGCGAGAUUGGAGCAAAGCUUCUUUGAGGCCACGAAGAGGUGAUUGUUUUGCAUGGUGUAGGAGGAGCCAUCCAGGGAAGGAGAAAUUUCCCUCCGAGAAAUUCAAGAGGCGAUGCCGGAAUCCUGUCAAUUCCACGACUCACGGAGCGGGGUCUUCGCCUUUGUAGGGACGGGUGCGGAAGAUGGGCAGGGGGCCGAGACGUGUGUGGGGUCCUUCCUUAGCGGGCAGAAGUCAAAACGGGUGGGAUGUGUUCAUUCACGUACUUCCUCAUUAAAAAAUAAUUUACUGGA